rnacentral:lncRNA from 1 species
CAUUGAAUCGUAACAGGAGGUGCAGGGGUUUGGAUGGUCGCCGGAGAAAUAGGCGGCGGCUAUAGCAACGGCAGGAGGAAGAAAGAGCCAACGGAGAGGGUGAGAUCAAGAGUGAUUUGGGUGAGAUACGUGCGAGAGUGAGAGAUGAGACAUAGCAGCAAGAGUUUUAUGCAGAGUAUUAGAAACAAUGAGGAAGGAAAAAGAAAAGAAAAGAAAGGCGGUGGAAAAGCAGGGGCACGUGGCUAAACCUUUUGUUGUCACAUGUCCUUAACAAUCUGGCUAAUCAAUUGAUUCGUACCCUCUUUAACUGUUUUACGGAGAUAACUUGCAAUAAAAUUUCUCCCGAAAUUUAUCGAAACAUUUUUUUAUAAAUCCAAUAAUAUUACAAAACUAAUAAAAUUAAAGUUUCGGGAUUUAUAGAGCAUUUUCGAAAUUUAUACAAAAUUUAGAAGUUAGUUGCGCUUUAAAAAUAAUUAAAAAUCAUGUUCUUAAAGAAAUAAGAUUUUUAAUAUUUUAAAAACUCCUAAAAUAUUUAUAAUCACUAUUAAGCAAUUAAAAUAAUUAUUCAAAUUAUCUUUGUAUUUUUACAAAAAUAAAUAUCCAUUUAAGAGGAUAAUAAAUCUUUGAUAAAAUAAUAUAAUAAUAUCAAAAGCAGAAAUAAAUGCACACAUAGACAUAAUCGUAUACAAAUAGAUCAAUUAAAUCUCUUAACAGAUAAUUGCACGAUCAACAGAUAUUUUCCCAUAACCCCGUUGACCAGGAAAAUAUUUAAACAAAUAUAUUUAUUUUUAUUUAUUAUUUUUUUUUUUUUUGAAAUUUACCAAACUGGAAUAAAAUAUUAAAUUUUAUUCCUCCUUUUUAUAAAAACCAUUAAUAAAAUAUUUUGAAAAAUCCGGGUUGUCACAAUCUACCCCCCUUAAAAGGAUUCCGUCCUCGGAAUCAGCGAAAAGAAAACUAGAGCGUACGAUCUCUUUAAUCCAUAAUACUUCUUUAUGAGGUGAUAUCCUCUUGAUUGCUGUCGUAUAUUCGCAUCAUCAUUCGCUUUUGCUCAUGGUACCUCCUACUAUAAAGGCUUAAUUUUACUUGGCAACUCAGUUGGCAUACCUUCAACUAUUAAAGAUUACAAGAAUAUGAAAGAUUAGAUCUAUUGGAACAAAUAUAACGUGAUUGGAAACAAAAGAAUAACCGAGAGAUCAAUAUGAUCUAAAGAACUUGGUGUUGCGUGUCUAAAUUAAGACACUACUAAAGGUAGUUAACCUUCUUGUAAUGUACAACACACACAAGUGAUGGCGUCCCAUCCAACUCCUAUCACACAGACUGGUAGUCCUUGUGUCCCCUAUAGGUAGGGUUGUUCAUCUCAGUUAGAGUAGAAUGAUAUAAUAGAUAUUCAAAAUCAAUUAAGAAUGAUUGACUUUUGAUGAAUGAAUCUUUGAUGCGCACCUUGGGUUAAAAAUUGAAUAAGUUCCAAAGGUGCUAGUUUCAAUGAAAAGAUUAGUUAGAAAUGAUAAAAUAGACACAAGUAUCAUUUUAUAACUCAUGAGAUUGAAAUAUAGUCUUUAUCAAACGUCUCUAGGAAAAGAUGUUAAGACAAUUCAUUGAUGAAGAAGGUAAUCAAUAUAAUCAACAAAGAGGAAGGUAUUGCCAAGAUUCUUCAAGAUAUGCUGCUCUGAUGGAUCAUUAUUCGAUUCUAAUCUUCUUCUAUUUUUCAGCGGUCGAUGAUGCUCAAUAACGUAAAUUAUCGUUGACUCACAAUGGUCUGUGAAGAUCUCAUUAUAAAUAUCCAUGAUCGUCAGAAGUCCUGCUCAGCUUCGCAUAGUCCGAAAUAUUAUCGAGUUUCGUAUAAUCAUCACCACUGAGUGUUGACGUCUUAACUUACUAACAAGUACUAUAUCCACUAAUCUACACGAGCUCUAAAUAACUUUAACGUUCAUUAUUUAACUAUAUACGAAACUUCUUACUUGACCCUACAAGUUUCAUAUUCUUGUAUUAGCUCUAAUGCUCACUACUUCACUAUAUACAAAGCUUUAAAUUCGGACCUGUUAAGACCUAUAUUCUUUCACCAAUUCUAUAUAUCUUUAACAAGAAUCAAAGAUAACUCCCCAAAUACUAUUCAAAGAUUGGCAGACACUAUAAAGAUUACUCUAGACUAUGUGAGAAUCUAUACUAGUCCAACCUCAAUUGGUUCCCAUUAUAAAGUUCACCUAAUAGGUGUAUCUUUCAUCCUUCAAAUGGUUUUGAAUCUAAAUCAACCAAAAGAAAUCUUAUCCACCUACUAUGAGUUUCUAACUCAAUUAAACUGGUGUUAAGAAAUUUUGAUCCAUAAUAAAAACACAUAAAGUCACUCUUCUAAUUUAUCUCUGUCUUGGUGACGAGGACUAUGAAAUAAUUAUUGACUUUCUAGUCUCAACAGGUGAAACUAUUUGUUUGCUGAUAUUGGUACUAACUACUCAAUAGACUAGAAACUAGUGGGGCAUGUUCUUCCUUCCCUGAUAUAUAAACUUACUAGUUCUGGGUCAAGAGAACUAAGAGAACUAUUAUACACACUAUGUUAUACUCAAAAUCAGUACUCUAUUGGAAUCUUGGUUCUAUUGACACAGACUCUUCCAAAGAGUUGUAGACUACCUCUAUGUGAGUUUACGCUUAGUGCACCUAUUUAUUAGACCUAAUAUUACCACCUAUAUUCUGAUUUCAAUAACUUAUAACCUGCAGCUCUGAUACCAACUGUGACAGCCCUCAAAUCCGGGGGUCUGGAUCUGGUGCCACGUGUAAAUAAAAAUAAUUUAAAACCUGUAUUUUUGAGUCACUGAAAGAAAAACAAUUUAAAAAAAUACAAGUAUUUCAAAACCUGAAUAUAUAAAAAAAAUGAUUUAAAUUAAAACUCAAAUUCACCCCCUGAAAACAGGAUCGCAUACAGGUUACAGCAUUGAAAUCAGAAACUAAAACUAUCAAAUUUAAUUACAAAUUAAACUGCAUUAUCAGCUAAACAUCGAUAAGAAGAGUAGCUGAUGACCAAAUAAACAAAUCUCAUUUCCAACUGAAUUGAAUUGCAGAACUCCAACUGCAUCUAGUCUUAAUCACAUCGUCCCGGAUACCCUACCUAACAAUUUUCCUGAACUCAACCACUUGCAAUCCUUGCCUAGUCUUAAGUGAAUCAUCUUUAUUCCUAGCUGAAAAGGGUUAGAAGGAAUAGCAAGAAUGAGCAAUAAUGCUCAGCAAGAAUAACAAAAUGAAAUUGAUAUUUGUUGUACAGCAAUGCCAUAAUAAAGAAGUGAAAAUAUUUAAAACUGCAGAAAUGAAUGUAUAAGCAAAUAUCUCUUGAAGGCAGGGUAACUUCUUUUUAAACUAUUCACAAUUUUAUUGGGCUUUAAAAAUAAUUGGACACCUGGCUAUAACAGAUGAUCAGUCAUGCUAUAGUCCAUAAACCAAGCUUAUUCAGCAAGGUUGACAAAUAUUACGAAUUCCGGUAAUCCGGGCUUAAGGAGCCACCUUUCACGCUGGGCCGGUGCCCGAGCCUCUUACGCAAAAACAACCCAAUAGUUUAAUUUUUAAAACAAUCUGCAGUUCCAUCAUGUAAUUCAAGAGCCAGAAUAACAUUUUGUUAAAACAAUUUCUUUAUGCAUAUCAUAGUGUAGAGUUGAUACCAAAAGUGUUAUCCGUUCAACCAAAAAGUUUAAAAGUACUAGAUAUGCUUCACAAGAAAGUAAUUGCAAAUAAUUUGAAUCAUGAUAUAAAGAAGGUUUUAGUAUCUAUAGGUACUAGAGGAGUAGGGUAGAAAUACUUGCUUCUAAAUUGCGAGAGAAGGUAGAAGUACUUGCCUUAACUCCAAAGUUUAGCUCAGAUUCCUAGUAACACUAUAUACCGCAUAAUCAUUCCUUUCUGCCAGCUUCUGACACACUUUUAUCUAUAACAAAUCUCCGUCCUACUUCAACUUGUAACAUUCUGCUUGGCUAUUUCUGAAUACCCCUUUCAAUCACUUCUCGAUUAAUGCCUCGGUCAAUGUCUUCAAUUCUAUACGAUGAUAAAAUAGUAUUUCAGUCGUCGGAUUAGACAUAUUGACUAACCCUGAAUUGCAUUAAGACCUAUAUAUAUAUCUACCCUUCGCAUAUACAUACCACAGUCACAUAAACACAUAGCACAUAGUUGUACAAACAACCCUUUUUAUAGGCAUUAAAUCCAUAUAAUUUCUAACGAAAAUUCGGCAGCAUCUCCUCUGUUUAUAAGCUUAUCCACCUGUUUGCAAUGCCAACAACCAACCAAUACUAUUGCUAACACAUGAAUUAUUAAUAUAAAAAGAUCCCUUGACUUGCAGUAAACACAUAAGAAAAUCUGUCUUGACUUGUAGUAAACAUAUAAUAAAAUCUUUUAGCAGGAUUGCUAACUUGUUAUACGCAAAACACUUUUAAUUAGAUAUACAAGGUUAACCGAGCCAAUCAAUGUAAUAAUCAAUUAUAUGCAAUUAGUCAAGUAUAACCUCAUACUAUGCACUAGCAAAGAAAGAAAAAUAGAACAAAUAGUUCAAACAGCCCUCGGUCUAUGAUUUUUAAUAAAUUGAAAAUUUAUCUUUUUAAUACGAAAUUUUUAUGAGACUCUCCUAAAUAUUAUUCCAACCUACAGUAAAAUUUUCAGAAAGAAAAUCCAAGUUUAAAGCUGUAAAACAGAGCCUGGAACAGGACAACCCUGCCCAGAAUUUUCAGCACCAUACUAUACUAAAACGGUCAUAUCUCCUAGCUCGCUAAUCGAAUCGAUUCGAUUCUUUCGCGCACAUAAACUAGACUCUGAGGAGCACAUAAACACACAAAUAUUAAGCAUAUAAUUCGAUUCUAUGAGCCCAGAAUUGUACUACAAAGCAGAUCAGCCGCAACCUAGAAUUCAAUCGAUUAUGUGUAAAUCUGAAUUUUUAGCCCAAUACUUAACUCUUACAUUUACACAAAAUAUUAAACUUGAAAGCCUAAAUACUCAGUUAUAUAUUCUCAUAAUUCAAGUACCCCAGUCAUCCAAUUAUACUACUAGUUGGCGUACUGAUUAUAAUCGACCUACAACAACCAAAUUCAAAUAUCAAUUAGGCACACAAUUCAAUCAUACAAUUACUAACACCAAUCUCAAUCUCAAAAAUUCAAUCAACCUUCAAUUACAAGCAUAUAAUCAGUUUAUACUCAUGCAAGCACACAUAAAUCAGAUUAUACACACAUAUCAAAUACAUGUACACGUAUAAACACGGUUCACCCGAAUAUAAUUUCGAUUAUCCGACAUGUAAAUACACGCAUAUAUACACAUACAUGUAUCACAUAACUGAUUUAAUAAGUAAAACCAUCGAGUUUAUACCCAUUGAAUCGUAACAGGAGGUGCAGGGGUUUGGAUGGUCGCCGGAGAAAUAGGCGGCGGCUAUAGCAACGGCAGGAGGAAGAAAGAGCCAACGGAGAGGGUGAGAUCAAGAGUGAUUUGGGUGAGAUACGUGCGAGAGUGAGAGAUGAGACAUAGCAGCAAGAGUUUUAUGCAGAGUAUUAGAAACAAUGAGGAAGGAA